GUGGCACACUACCUCGUCUUAAAUGUUACAGUGAAUAACCCAUCUCCACCCUACCCUCUAUCCCACAUUGCUUUCUAUAUAUACUUUCUCUAUUGACUGCACGCUAUGGGCAUUAUCUCACAUCUGUGAGCACGGAAUGCUGGUUCACACCAAGUCUGUGAGGAGGCUUGGUGUCAUACCCAUGAUUUACGAAGACUGCAGCCUACGCACACCUACCACUUACCCAUACUUAGAGAGAUCAUAGAAACCUAAGUAGAUGGCACGGUAACCUAAAAAUGUAACACCUGGGUUUUGCACAUUUUCUCAGGACCUUUUAACUUUGUUCCUCUGCAGUUUUUCUUUCUUUCUUUCUUUCUCUCUUUCUUUCUUUCUUUCUUUCUUUCUUUCUUUCUUUCUUUCUUUCUUUCUUUCUUUCUUUCUUUCUUUCUUUCUUUCUUUCUUUCUUUCUUUCUUUCUUU
rnacentral:lncRNA from 1 species